UAACACGUAGGGCGCAAGCGUUGUCCGGAAUUAUUGGGCGUAAAGAGCUCGUAGGUGGUCUGCUGCGUCCGCUGUGAAAACUCAGGGCUUAACCCUGAGCUUGCAGUGGAUACGGGCAGACUAGAGGUAGGUAGGGGAGAAUGGAAUUCCCGGUGUAGCGGUGAAAUGCGCAGAUAUCGGGAGGAACACCGGUGGCGAAGGCGGUUCUCUGGGCCUUACCUGACACUGAGGAGCGAAAGCGUGGGGAGCGAACAGGAUUAGAUACCCUGGUAGUCCACGCCGUAAACGUUGGGCGCUAGGUGUGGGGUCCUUCCACGGAUUCCGUGCCGCAGCUAACGCAUUAAGCGCCCCGCCUGGGGAGUACGGCCGCAAGGCUA
rnacentral:rRNA from 1 species